ensembl:lncRNA
UCAACAAAGCUAUCUAGAUCAAAUCAGAGUCUCUGUAAGUGAACAUUGAGAAGACAUUGUAAAGUCAUUCAGGUAACUGCAAUGGUGUUUUCUUUUCAUUGUCUUUAUGUAGUCUGGGACUGUGAGGUUGCCGCCAUCUGCCUGUUGCUUCACCUGUUGCCUCCAACAUCCAAGGGCAAGAAGUCUGCAAAGAUCAGCGCAACGGAUGCUACUGUCCGCCUGGUGAAGUUCCUUAAGGUGGGGAGAAGCAUGGAGACCUUCCUGAAGGAAACUGGCCCUGCUCAGCCCUUUCUCCUGUGUGUUGGAGAACGAAAAAACAGCAUCCAGAAUUUCUACAUCAUCCUGGACCAAAAGGCCAUUCCCUCCAAGACGCAGACUGGAGUUGCUGCCUUUGACGAGCUCUUCAAGGCACAUUUUGCUUUUGCUGUGUCCUAUGAUGAGGCGCUGUGCAACUUCUACACCUUCAUCCAGACAACCGUGUAUGGCAUUGACGUUGGCAGUGUGAAGGAGACCCCUGGUGAAGGAAAUUCGAGUAAGACUUCUUCACAGUUCAUUUUGAAGAGGAACUCAUUUCUGACUUGAAAUGUUUACAUGUUACAUUUGCAAGGUACAGCACAGAAAUUGUUCAUUGUUAUGUCGACAUUUGAAGUUCCAGCAUGGAUUGUACCCAGGAAGGUCUUUGCGUUUGCGUUGUGGAGAGGCUGGUUGUUCAUUUGUUUUUUGCACAUACUUCGGUUACCAGCGGCACUUAUCUCGAGCACAUAAGGAUGGUGGUGAUUCAGAUUCCGUCAGUGAUGUUGAGUUUGUUCCUGCAACUAAUGUUGGAGCUUCUGUUUCACAACAAGUUAAUGUAGAUCCUCCUGCGACUGUCACUACACACAUUCCA